rnacentral:tRNA from 1 species
UCCGAAGUAGCUCAGUGGUAGAGCAACCGGCUGUUAACCGGUUGGUCGUAGGUUCAAGUCCUACCUCCGGAG